GAUGAACGCUGGCGGCGUGCCUAAUACAUGCAAGUCGAGCGAACAGACGAGGAGCUUGCUCCUCUAACGUUAGCGGCGGACGGGUGAGUAACACGUGGAUAACCUACCUAUAAGACUGGGAUAACUUCGGGAAACCGGAGCUAAUACCGGAUAACAUGUUGAACCGCAUGGUUCAACAGUGAAAGACGGUCUUGCUGUCGCUUAUAGAUGGAUCCGCGCCGCAUUAGCUAGUUGGUAAGGUAACGGCUUACCAAGGCAACGAUGCGUAGCCGACCUGAGAGGGUGAUCGGCCACACUGGAACUGAGACACGGUCCAGACUCCUACGGGAGGCAGCAGUAGGGAAUCUUCCGCAAUGGGCGAAAGCCUGACGGAGCAACGCCGCGUGAGUGAAGAAGGUCUUCGGAUCGUAAAACUCUGUUAUUAGGGAAGAACAAAUGUGUAAGUAACUAUGCACGUCUUGACGGUACCUAAUCAGAAAGCCACGGCUAACUACGUG
rnacentral:rRNA from 1 species